GACGGAGGGGGCAAGCGUUGUCCGGACUCACUGGGCGUAAAGGGUGCGUAGGCGGCCUGCUGCGUCGGUGCUGAAAGCGCCCGGCUUAACCGGGCGAGGCGUGCCGAUACGAGCGGGCUGGAGCCUUGGCGAGGGUGGCGGAACUCCUGGUGUAGUGGUGAAAUGCGUAGAGAUCAGGAAGAACACCCGUGGCGCAAGCGGCCGCCUGGCCAAGAGCUGACGCUGAGGCACGAGAGCGUGGGGAGCGAACCGG
rnacentral:rRNA from 1 species